rnacentral:rRNA from 1 species
GACGAACGCUGGCGGCGUGCUUAACACAUGCAAGUCGAACGGAAAGGCCCUGCUUUUGUGGGGUGCUCGAGUGGCGAACGGGUGAGUAACACGUGAGUAACCUGCCCGUGACUUUGGGAUAACUUCAGGAAACUGGGGCUAAUACCGGAUAGGAGCUCCUGCUGCAUGGUGGGGGCUGGGAAGUUUCGGCGGUUGGGGAUGGACUCGCGGCUUAUCGGCUUGUUGGUGGGGUAGUGGCUUACCAAGGCUUUGACGGGUAGCCGGCCUGAGAGGGUGACCGGCGACCUUGGGACUGAGAGACGGAGCAGACUCCUACGGGAGGCAGCAGUGGGGAGUAUUGCCCAAUGGGCGGAAGCCUGAUGCAGCAACGCCGCGUGCGGGAUGAACGCCUUCGGGGUGUAAACCGCUUUCGCCUGUGACGAAGCGUGAGUGACGGUACUGGGUAAAGAAGCACCGGCUAACUACGUG